rnacentral:rRNA from 1 species
GUCUGGAAGUGGCACACUGCUCAGUAACACGUAGCUAACCUACCCUUAGGACGUGGAUACCCCCGAGAAAUUGGUUUAAUCCGCGAUAGAUGUAAUGUCCUGGAAUGGUAUUACGUCUAAAGGUAUUUCAUACAUGUUUGAAAUAUGCCUAAGGAUGGGGCUGCGGCCGAUCAGGCAGUUGGUGAGGUAAUGGCUCACCAAACCUUUGACCGGUACGGGCCAUGAGAGUGGUAGCCCGGAGAUGGACACUGAGACAAGGGUCCAGGCCCUAAGGGGCGCAGCAACCGCGAAACCUCCACAAUGCACUCACGUGCGAUGGGGCUAUCUCGAGUGCCACCUGAUGAAGGUGGCUUUUUCCUUGGUCUUCAAAGCCUUGGGGAUAAGAGGGGGGCAAGACUGGUGUCAGCCGCCGCGGUAACACCAGCCCCUCGAGUGGUGGGGAUGAUUAUUUGGCCUAAAGCGUCCGUAGCCGGCCGAGCAAGUCUUCCGUUAAAUCCAGCGUCUCAAGCGUUGGACCGCGGGAGAUACUACACGGCUAGAGAGUGGGAGAGGUCAGCGGUAUUCUGGGGGUAGGGGCGAAAUCCUUUGAUCCCCGGAGGACCACCAGUGGCGAAGGCUGCUGACUAGAACACGUCUGACGGUCAGGGACGAAAGCUGGGGUAGCGAACCGGAUUAGAUACCCGGGUAGUCCCAGCCGUAAACGAUGCAUGCUAGGUGUUGGGUUGGCCACGAGCCACCCCAGUGCCGCAGGGAAGCCGUUAAGCAUGCCGCCUGGGAAGUACGAUCGCAAGAUUGAAAUUUAAAGGAAUUGGCGGGGGAGCACCACCAGGCGUGAAGCCUGCGGUUUAAUUGGAGUCAACGCCGGGAACCUUACCGGGAGCGACAGCAGAAUGAAGGCCAGAUUGAAGAUCUUGCCAGACGAGCUGAGAGGAGGUGCAUGGCCGUCGCCAGUUCGUGCCGUGAGGUGUUCUCUUAAGUGAGAUAACGAACGAGACCCGUGCCACAUGUUGCCACCAGUAUCUAAAGGAUAGCUGAGCACUCUUGUGGGACCGCAGCCGAUAAGGCUGAGGAAGGUACGGGCAACGGCAGGUCAGUAUGCCCCGAAUUUCCCGGGCCACACGCGGGCUGCAAUGGUACAGACAGAGGGCUGCCACCCCGAAAGGGGGAGCCAAUCCCUAAACUGUACCUCAGUUGGGAUCGAGGGUUGCAACCCACCCUCGUGAACAUGGAAUGCCUAGUAACCGCCAGUCAUCAUCUGGCGGUGAAUACGUCCCUGCUCCUUGCACACACUGCCCGUCGAACCACCCGAAUGAGGUUUGGGUGAGGAAUGGUCGAAUGUUGGCCGUUUCGAACCUGGGCCUCGUAAGGAGGGUUAAGUCGUAACAAGGUG